UACGUAGGGUGCGAGCGUUGUCCGGAAUUAUUGGGCGUAAAGGGCUCGUAGGCGGUUUGUCGCGUCGGGAGUGAAAACCCAGGGCUUAACUCUGGGCUUGCUUUCGAUACGGGCAGACUAGAGGUAUGCAGGGGAGAACGGAAUUCCUGGUGUAGCGGUGAAAUGCGCAGAUAUCGAGGAGGAACACCGGUGGCGAAGGCGGUUCUCUGGGCAUUACCUGACGCUGAGGAGCGAAAGUGUGGGGAGCGAACAGG
rnacentral:rRNA from 1 species